rnacentral:lncRNA from 1 species
CAAAAUUCAAACUACUCCAAAUUAAGUUGAGUACAUUAUUGUGAGAUUUGAGUUAAGUUUUUAUGAAUUGAUCCAACUUAUAUUGACAGUAAAAUGUUCAUUGUCAUUGAAGAAAAAACUUGUUGAAAUUUGGAAUACUAAGAAAGCGACAAGAUGGAAAAGAAAUCUACAAUUCAUUAUUGAACAUAGCAUUGUCUUUAUCAAGAUUCUAGAGCCAAUGGUUCUCAUUGGACGUUAGGUGGUUUUGCUUUCAAUUUCAAUGCAUCUCCAAUCCCAAUUAAUCAAUUUCUUCAACCCUAGUUGAUCAAAUAAUUGUACAACAUUAUCUUCAAUUUCAAUCAAUUCUAAAAUCACAGACCAUAGAAUCCAAUCCAACUCCAAGCCGUUUUCACAUUGUCCAGAAAAACUAUAUCACUAUUUAAAAUGGGUGAACCAAAUGAGAGCACAUAAAUGAUCAUAUUUACUUUCAAUCCGAAUCACAUGAAUGGGAUCAUAUACUAAAAUAGAUAAAAUCUAUCUGUGUGUGAUUUUUUUUCUCUUCUAGUUUUUUUUCUUCCAAUUUCUUGUGGACAAAUCUCCAAAAUUACAAAAACAUCUUAUACUCUCAUACAUGAUAUAAACAAAAAAAAUGGUGUAGGAGUAGGAUCAACAAAAAUAUAAACUAAUAAAGAGUGGGUAUAUGUUGACUCUAGGAGUAGCUCAAAAUGAGUAAAUAAUGUGCUUAAUAACUCAUUGCAAACAAACAAACAAUGAAUUUUACUAAUCCAAAAGUUGAUUAUUAUAUAUACCAUUUUUUAUGGUAUAUAUACCAUUAUAUAUAUAUAACUUGUUGCUAUGUAAUUUAACCAAGUAUUUACUUAUGUUUUUAAAAGCUUAUUAUUAGAUUUAAUACUUAGUUAUAAUAAUUAGUUUUAUUUUGAGAGAAAAUAAUAAUUAGUUUUUUUUUUAAACAAAGAGUAAAAGAAAAUAAUAAUUAGUUACAUUAGUUAAGUUAGAAUGAUUUGUUGUUCUAAUUAGAUAUAUAAACAUUGUCAUAUACGUUCAAUUGAAAUUAUUUAACAAGUAUCACAUAGUUUUAAAAUUUUAUAAAAAAAUUGUGAAAUUGAUCGUUUUUUUUUAACAAGUCAAAAUGGAAUAUAUUACUACCAAAAACGUAAUUGUUGUGCUAAACAAUCACGGAAAGAACAAGGUCCUAUCAAGAAUACAAAGUUUUCAGUCAAUGCUCAUACAUAAAAGUGAGCUCGACCACCAAUUAUUAGUACCAAAACUAAAAACAACAUUAAUAGCUUUUAACCACCAAAAAGAAGAUGAUUUUACUUUGUCUAACAUUUGUGGUAAAGAGCUGUGCCUGUUUCUAAAAAUUCUAUCAUUCCGAUCAUUCGAUAGGACCCAAACACACUGAAGUCAAAUCAAAUGAAAAAAAGAUCUUUGCAAUUUUAAACAACCUGCGUAAUGAAUAAAUUGCAAAAAAUAAUCCGAAAUAUGUUGAGGAUCAACCCCAAGCCAAGCCCUCACCAAUCUAUGCAUUGUGAUUUGAUAGUACAUGUGUAAAAAAAAAAAAAUUACACCAUCUAUGCAUGUAAAUUAUUUUCGUUCUUCAACCCCUCAUUUAAAAAUAAAUAAAAACAAGUAUUAUCAAACUACCCCUCAAAAAGAAAAUAUCAAACUACUCCAAAUGUCGAUGAUCUAAAUCCAUAAAAUAUUUAGACGAAUUAUAUUUAGAUUAAAAUUAUAUUCCAUGGAAAUAAACAAGAUUGAUGAAUGAUUCCCCUAAAACAAAAAUUAUUGGUGAAUGAUGUACUUCUGGGCACACGAAUCAAACUAUUCAAAUUUUCCUAAAAAUACUUGUAAAAAAAAGUUCUUUUAAAAAAUUAUUAAAUUAGCUACACAUAUUUACAUAAUCAUUCAAGUAAAUCUAAUUAUUAAAAAGAGUUCUUAAAACAUAGUUUAAAUCUAAUUAAUGAAUGUGUGUAAAUUGAUUAUAGACAAAUUGAGUGUGGAAACAAGAAGGUUAAUUCCAAGAAUUAACACUAACAAUAUAAUUUUCCAAGUAAUUAACCAAGACUUACAAAGUAGGAUUCAUACAAUUACAUAUGAAAAGGCACUACUCAUAACACCUUGUAUGUCGUAUAUACCAUGAUCAACAUGACCCAUCAAUAUUAUCAUCAUGAUGUGGAGUUUGGAGUGACAAAAACAACAUGCUUAUUAUUAUUAUUAGGCAUGGAUUUGUUGCGUUUCAUCCAAGUUGAAGUUGAUGACGAUGAUGAUGAUGAGGAGGAGCUACGAUGUAAACGACAUCGGAAAGAACCUUCAUGUGUCGUCGGAGAACAUAAACACUGUCCUUUUGGCAACGGUGUUGUUGUGUUGCUACCACUUUCACUUGUUGGUGAUGUUGAAAUUGUGAGGUUACUUUGGGUUUUAGGUUGAGAUUGAGAUGCCAUGGAUGAUAAUUGAUUGAUGAUGAUGAUGAAAAGAUUGAAAGAAAAUUUGAAGGUUCAAUUUGAUUGUGAAAAGAAAGGGUUGUUUUGCUUUAUAUAUAUAUAGGAACAAAAAGAAAACAGAAAAGCAAAGGUUACGGAACUUUGACAACAAAAGACUAUAACUAAUCUUUAAUUAAUUGAUGAUUCUUUAUGCGUGUCAUCUUAUCAUAUUUCUAAUUAUUGUAAAGACUAUAACUAAUAUUUCUUUACGUGUGGAUCUAAU